AUUCUAUGUACCGGGAAUGGUAUUUUUACUUUCUAUUUAUGGAGCAUCGAAUAGCACAACCACUAUAAGUGAUGUGCUGGUAUGUUACCUUAUAAAUGCUCAAGGUACAGCUUCUAAUGUUGAAAAAUAGAAAAAUAAAUUGACCUUGAUGAAGUGUGUCUUCUUUUGUCUGUUCCCAGGAAAGUUUAUUUCAGGUAUUUCUACUGCUGAAAUGAUUAGCGUUAACAGCUUUUUCCCUCCAUUUUAUUUUACAGGGUCUCUUCAUCUUCCUGAUAUAUGGGGUAUACAACACAGAGGCAUUUCUCGGCAUCCUCUGCUCUGCUCGGGGAGCGCAGAGUGAAUCCCAGCACAGAUCACACCGGGCCUAGCAGUGCGCGUUUUAUAAGGAGCCUAGGAGGCUGGGCAGCAGGGCCACGCGGCAAAGACUCCUCAGCCAGACUAGGUAUGCGGGCAUUUAAAUACCAUCCGAUGAUGAUGACGAAGUGUGUGUGUGUAGGUGUGUCCCACAGGGCGGCUGCCCCUGGAUUACACGCGGUUUCCUUUUCCAGUAGCCUUCAGGUAGGUUGGCAAGAAGACAACUUUUUUUUUUUUUUUGCAACGGUACCUGUAUUGCGGCUGCAAAGCAGGCUCCUCCUAUAAGUGCAAAGGACGCAUGCCCAUUAUUAAAAAGGUCUGCAAACUAAUCACAGAAGCGCAAUCUUUUUAUUUUUUUAAUUUUUUAAAUGUAUUUCUUUUCUUUCUUUCUCUUUUCUUUUCUUUUCUUUUUUUCUUUUCUUUUUAAUGGAUGCUGGGAGCAUCUGAAGUUGGCUGCUUUCAGGUAGAACCAAAAGCGCCCUAGGUCAUCCAACUGCAGGCUGUGGAUUUUGAUCCUACAACUGGACUGCAAGCAGCGGAGCCCAGAAGGCCCCGAACCCCGGCCUCCUGCAACAUUGGGACCUCAGUUUCCCCCCCAUCCGCGCUCCGCCUGCCUCUUUUCUCUGCAGGCCGGUCCCGCGGAGUCCCGCCCCGCCGUCAGGGCAGCCCGCCAAUCACGCGGCUCCCCUGCGAGCCUCUCUCUCCGGGGGCGGGGGCGGAGGGGGCAAAGGGGCGUGGCUCCGAGUCCCCGCCCCCUGCAGCGCGGGGCCCGCCCCUCCGCCCAACCGCCCCAGUGAUUGACAGGCGGGCCGGGCGGAAGCCGCGGCGCAGGCGCCGUGGCGCCGCCGAGCGCCCCUCCGGCCGGGGUGAGCGUUCCCGGCAGGCCCCGCGCCGCGCCUGCGCAGUCCGGGAGAGGCUUUUAAUUCCAUUGUGGAGAGGACGGCGUUAUUUUUAUUAACUGGAGGCGACGGCGGCGGCGGCGGCGGCGGUACCCGUAAGUGUUGCGGGGUGGGCCGGGGCGGGGGCGGGCGAGGCCCGGGGAGGGGCCGCAGGGCCGUGCGUGGCGGUGCGGGUGCCGGAGCCGGGGCCGGAGCCGGAGCCGGAGCCGGAGCCGGAGCGAGCGGGCUGGGAGAUGGCGCGGGGCGCGCUGCGGUCGGGGCGGCGGCGCGGCGCGACGGGUCGGGGCGCCCGGGGCCCGGUCCCAGCCCCUCCUCCGUGUCCCCUCUGCCCCCCUCUCCGC
rnacentral:lncRNA from 12 species